GAUGAACGCUGGCGGUGUGCCUAAUACAUGCAAGUCGAACGGGAUCUUCGGAUCUAGUGGCGAACGGGUGAGUAACACGUUGGUACCUACCCCUAAGUGGGGAAUAACUGCCCGAAAGGGUGGCUAAUACCGCAUAAUCCCGCAAGGGUAAAGCAGUAAUGCGCUUAGGGAGGGGCCUGCGUCUGAUUAGCUAGUUGGUAGGGUAAUGGCCUACCAAGGCGACGAUCAGUAGCUGGAUCGAGAGGUUGACCAGCCACACUGGGACUGAGAUACGGCCCAGACUCCUACGGGAGGCAGCAGUAAGGAAUCUUCCACAAUGGACGAAAGUCUGAUGGAGCAACA
rnacentral:rRNA from 1 species